UACGUAGGAGGCGAGCGUUGUCCGGAGUUACUGGGCGUAAAGCGCACGCAGGCGGUCCUAUUAGUCUGGGGUGACAGUUCCCGGCUUAACCGGAAAAGGACUCUGGAAACUGUAGGACUUGAGGGCUUCAGAGGGAUGUGGAAUUCCAGGUGGAGUGGUGAAAUGCGUAGAGAUCUGGAAGAACACCCGUGGCGAAGGCGGGCUCUCUGGGACGGUACUGACGCUGAGACGCGGAAAGCGU
rnacentral:rRNA from 1 species